AACGAACGCUGGCGGCGUACUUAACACAUGCAAGUCGGACGAGAAAGGAAGCUUUUCGGCUUUCUGAGUAAAGUGGCGCACGGGUGCGUAACACGUAAGUAAUCUACCCUGGACUCUGGGAUAACUCCCCGAAAGGGGGGCUAAGACUGGAUAGCAACCUGCGGUGCAAGCCACAGGAGGAAAACAGGCCUCUGCAUUAUGCUUGUGGUUCAGGAUGAGCUUGCGGCCCAUUAGCUAGUUGGUGGGGUAAGGGCUCACCAAGGCGACGAUGGGUAGCUGGUCUGAGAGGAUGAUCAGCCACACUGGCACUGAGAUACGGGCCAGACUCCUACGGGAGGCAGCAGUGGGGAAUUUUGCGCAAUGGGCGAAAGCCUGACGCAGUAACGCCGCGUGGAGGAUGAAGGCCUUCGGGUUGUAAACUCCUGUCAGAGGGAACGACGGUGGUAGUGUGAAUAGCACUACUUGCUAGACGGUACCCUCAAAGGAAGCCCCGGCUAAUUCCGUGCCAGCAGCCGCGGUAA
rnacentral:rRNA from 1 species